rnacentral:rRNA from 1 species
GUGUGACUGCGUACCUUUUGUAUAAUGGGUCAGCGACUUAUAUUCUGUAGCAAGGUUAACCGAAUAGGGGAGCCGAAGGGAAACCGAGUCUUAACUGGGCGUUAAGUUGCAGGGUAUAGACCCGAAACCCGGUGAUCUAGCCAUGGGCAGGUUGAAGGUUGGGUAACACUAACUGGAGGACCGAACCGACUAAUGUUGAAAAAUUAGCGGAUGACUUGUGGCUGGGGGUGAAAGGCCAAUCAAACCGGGAGAUAGCUGGUUCUCCCCGAAAGCUAUUUAGGUAGCGCCUCGUGAAUUCAUCUCCGGGGGUAGAGCACUGUUUCGGCAAGGGGGUCAUCCCGACUUACCAACCCGAUGCAAACUGCGAAUACCGGAGAAUGUUAUCACGGGAGACACACGGCGGGUGCUAACGUCCGUCGUGAAGAGGGAAACAACCCAGACCGCCAGCUAAGGUCCCAAAGUCAUGGUUAAGUGGGAAACGAUGUGGGAAGGCCCAGACAGCCAGGAUGUUGGCUUAGAAGCAGCCAUCAUUUAAAGAAAGCGUAAUAGCUCACUGGUCGAGUCGGCCUGCGCGGAAGAUGUAACGGGGCUAAACCAUGCACCGAAGCUGCGGCAGCGACGCUGAUGCGUUGUUGGGUAGGGGAGCGUUCUGUAAGCCUGCGAAGGUGUGCUGUGAGGCAUGCUGGAGGUAUCAGAAGUGCGAAUGCUGACAUAAGUAACGAUAAAGCGGGUGAAAAGCCCGCUCGCCGGAAGACCAAGGGUUCCUGUCCAACGUUAAUCGGGGCAGGGUGAGUCGACCCCUAAGGCGAGGCCGAAAGGCGUAGUCGAUGGGAAACAGGUUAAUAUUCCUGUACUUGGUGUUACUGCGAAGGGGGGACGGAGAAGGCUAUGUUGGCCGGGCGACGGUUGUCCCGGUUUAAGCGUGUAGGCUGGUUUUCCAGGCAAAUCCGGAAAAUCAAGGCUGAGGCGUGAUGACGAGGCACUACGGUGCUGAAGCAACAAAUGCCCUGCUUCCAGGAAAAGCCUCUAAGCAUCAGGUAACAUCAAAUCGUACCCCAAACCGACACAGGUGGUCAGGUAGAGAAUACCAAGGCGCUUGAGAGAACUCGGGUGAAGGAACUAGGCAAAAUGGUGCCGUAACUUCGGGAGAAGGCACGCUGAUAUGUAGGUGAAGUCCCUCGCGGAUGGAGCUGAAAUCAGUCGAAGAUACCAGCUGGCUGCAACUGUUUAUUAAAAACACAGCACUGUGCAAACACGAAAGUGGACGUAUACGGUGUGACGCCUGCCCGGUGCCGGAAGGUUAAUUGAUGGGGUUAGCGCAAGCGAAGCUCUUGAUCGAAGCCCCGGUAAACGGCGGCCGUAACUAUAACGGUCCUAAGGUAGCGAAAUUCCUUGUCGGGUAAGUUCCGACCUGCACGAAUGGCGUAAUGAUGGCCAGGCUGUCUCCACCCGAGACUCAGUGAAAUUGAACUCGCUGUGAAGAUGCAGUGUACCCGCGGCAAGACGGAAAGACCCCGUGAACCUUUACUAUAGCUUGACACUGAACAUUGAGCCUUGAUGUGUAGGAUAGGUGGGAGGCUUUGAAGUGUGGACGCCAGUCUGCAUGGAGCCGACCUUGAAAUACCACCCUUUAAUGUUUGAUGUUCUAACGUUGACCCGUAAUCCGGGUUGCGGACAGUGUCUGGUGGGUAGUUUGACUGGGGCGGUCUCCUCCUAAAGAGUAACGGAGGAGCACGAAGGUUGGCUAAUCCUGGUCGGACAUCAGGAGGUUAGUGCAAUGGCAUAAGCCAGCUUGACUGCGAGCGUGACGGCGCGAGCAGGUGCGAAAGCAGGUCAUAGUGAUCCGGUGGUUCUGAAUGGAAGGGCCAUCGCUCAACGGAUAAAAGGUACUCCGGGGAUAACAGGCUGAUACCGCCCAAGAGUUCAUAUCGACGGCGGUGUUUGGCACCUCGAUGUCGGCUCAUCACAUCCUGGGGCUGAAGUAGGUCCCAAGGGUAUGGCUGUUCGCCAUUUAAAGUGGUACGCGAGCUGGGUUUAGAACGUCGUGAGACAGUUCGGUCCCUAUCUGCCGUGGGCGCUGGAGAACUGAGGGGGGCUGCUCCUAGUACGAGAGGACCGGAGUGGACGCAUCACUGGUGUUCGGGUUGUCAUGCCAAUGGCACUGCCCGGUAGCUAAAUGCGGAAGAGAUAAGUGCUGAAAGCAUCUAAGCACGAAACUUGCCCCGAGAUGAGUUCUCCCUGACUCCUUGAGAGUCCUGAAGGAACGUUGAAGACGACGACGUUGAUAGGCCGGGUGUGUAAGCGCAGCGAUGCGUUGAGCUAACCGGUACUAAUGAACCGUGAGGCUUAACCUUACAACGCCGAAGGUGUUU